AACCCCCCGCGUGGCGGCAUCUCGCCCAACUCCCCCAGGGCCGAGAGGCAGCAAGGGUAAGUGAGCUCUGUCGGGUGCGCGGGGGGCCUUC
rnacentral:SRP_RNA from 1 species